GGAAGAACCUUGUUAAAUGGACAGGGAUAACUACUGGAGGUGACAGAAGACACGUGCAGGUUUCAGGAAGGACAGCAGAACUGCCGGUAAAUACGAACCUACCCUUCCCAUUGCAGGUUCGGCGUUUGUGCCCUACCCUUGCCUGCCCAGCCUUCCUUCCUCCUCACACUCGCUGCUACCCACUGACCGAGGCGCUGAGCAGAAGUAGCAAUCGCUUACCGGCCUGCAGCCCGGCCCCGAGGCUCCCAGCCCUGCCGGCCCCGGCCCACCACACUCCUCUUGCCGGGGCACCUCUCUAAUCACCCCCCAGCCCGGGGAGGGAGCACUGACUGGGGUGGCCCGGCCGCAGGGUGAAGUCACCCGGUGACCCUGUCACCAAAAGGCCUCACCGUUUUUGGCAAGCCCAGCAGAACAGGGAUUCCCAACUGCUCAGCUCCUUCCAAGGCAAAGCUCCCUGGCUGGGAAAGGCCUCUGGUACAGUGUAUCCCACUGUCACCGCUUCAGAGCGAUCCACUGAGCUGGGAUUGGAACACACUGUGGAAGUGAUCCCACUCCUGACACCCUGCCAGCUAUCACAAGAUGCACAUUCACAGCUGCAAUAUAAUGUGGUUUCACUGAAGUCAGUAAUCUUAGGACCAGAUUCGCAAACCGAGAUCCAGCAGACAUUUGCAGGAAACAUAUCCCCUGUCUUGUGCAGCUCAUAGUCCUCAAUCCUUUCUGGAGGAGACUUCCUCUCCUACCAGCAAGGAUCAACUGCCGACAUCACCUGCUACUUUUCCUCCAUGCCUUAAGUGCUCAUCUCAACGCAGAACACAUCAAUUCCCAGAUCUGGAAGUCUUAAGCCCUCAGUUCUCGCUUAUUAGGGCUCCUAAUCACUGGGCUGUUCUCAUGGGGAAAAAUCCCCACCCCACCCCUCCUUUGAAGGCAUUUCACUUUGCAUAAAAAUGCACUAGGCCGGGGGAAGGAGAAGGAAGGAACGAGACUAUUAAGUCUGCUGGUUGCGGUGCUUGCCAAAGCCUGGAGCUCCCAUCUCCCAGUCAGCAGCGCUCAGAAGCAGAUUUAAUCAGGUUCCCACCAAGUCUUCCUUCACCCAAGAGAAAAAACGUUCUGCACGAAAAAGAGGGCAGGAGAUGAAGUGGGCUCUUGAGAUAUGGUUUUAAAGAAGAAAAAAGUACUGGCCAGAUUCAGACAGACUCUCGCACAGGAAGCUCAUGCAAGUCUGAAGACUACAGAGGAGGCUGCUUCACAGCUGACCAUGUGGUGACAAAGCAGUAGGAUAAGAGGAUGGCCAAUUGGAAAAGAAAGUAAUUUUCUGUCCCCAACUACAACUGACCUGUUGGGACCAAUACUGGAAGUGAGCCACUGCACGGAGCAGCGUGACCCCUUGGGAGAAAGGACCAUAG
rnacentral:lncRNA from 1 species